UACGUAGGGCGCAAGCGUUAUCCGGAAUUAUUGGGCGUAAAGAGCUCGUAGGCGGUUUGUCGCGUCUGCCGUGAAAGUCCGGGACUCAACUCCGGAUCUGCGGUGGGUACGGGCAGACUAGAGUGAUGUAGGGGAGACUGGAAUUCCUGGUGUAGCGGUGAAAUGCGCAGAUAUCAGGAGGAACACCGAUGGCGAAGGCAGGUCUCUGGGCAUUAACUGACGCUGAGGAGCGAAAGCAUGGGGAGCGAACAGG
rnacentral:rRNA from 1 species